GGGUUGUGAGGUUAAGCGACCAAGCGUACACGGUGGAUGCCCUGGCAGUCAGAGGCGAUGAAGGACGUGCUAAUCUGCGAAAAGCGCCGGUAAGGUGAUAUGAACCGUUAUAACCGGCGAUGUCCGAAUGGGGAAACCCAGUGUGACUCGUCACACUAUCAUUAACUGAAUCCAUAGGUUAAUGAGGCGAACCGGGGGAACUGAAACAUCUAAGUACCCCGAGGAAAAGAAAUCAACCGAGAUUCCCCCAGUAGCGGCGAGCGAACGGGGAGGAGCCCAGAGCCUGAAUCAGUAUGUGUGUUAGUGGAAGCGUCUGGAAAGGCGCGCGAUACAGGGUGACAGCCCCGUACACAAAAGCGCAUGUGCUGUGAGCUCGAUGAGUAGGGCGGGACACGUGGUAUCCUGUCUGAAUAUGGGGGGACCAUCCUCCAAGGCUAAAUACUCCUGACUGACCGAUAGUGAACCAGUACCGUGAGGGAAAGGCGAAAAGAACCCCAGCGAGGGGAGUGAAAAAGAACCUGAAACCGUGUACGUACAAGCAGUGGGAGCCCCACCACUAAGCCAGUGGUGAACUCCACAUACGCAUCCUUUGCGGAAGAUACGGUUAACGGAGCGAAAGCGACGUUCAACCG
rnacentral:rRNA from 1 species